UAUUAUUAUGCAAUAACUGUAAAUAAGGUUGGGGCAUGGUAUUAAGAAGGAUAUCAUUGAUGAUAUGGGUCUUUAGAUCUUUUAUCUGUCUGAAGUGCUUCUGCAAAUUUUAAUUCCUCAUGGUAAUGUAUUGUAUUUAAAAUCCUUACUUGAGUCCAUUCGAAAUUCUGGGUAGUUUCAAAAAACAUAUCAACAAGGCAAUGGAAGGGUUAUGCAUUUUCAAAUCUCUUUUAAGCUCUUCUAAUCUAGCAUUUAAGGGUUUGGAAGUGCUACCAAUAUAUUCUUCUCUCUUACUAAUGAUUGUAUUUACAGCUGGUAUAAAAUAUAUUCCUUAUUGGGCAGAUGGAAGUAAUUUAUCCUUAUCAUUUCUUAAAAGCAUAUUUAUAAAUUUUUUAACCUGUU
rnacentral:lncRNA from 1 species